UAAAGACAAAUAAUUAUUUUUUCUCUCAGUCCAACCUAACCCAAGAUAUUUGCAUCCUUGGUGAUUAUCAAGAGUUUUAAACUGAGAGAACUCUGUAAUUAUUAUUUUGUUUUUUCAGUUCUUGCCCUAUUUAGUUAGACAAAUAAAAAUCAAACCUGGUAAGAUAUGGAAUCUUCGUCAAUACCCAAUUCCUGCUCACACUUCCUGAAAUGGCAUAAUUAAG
rnacentral:lncRNA from 1 species